CCUAUCCCUUAUAGUACAGUAUCCCUAUCCCUAUAGUACAGUAUACCCUAUCCCUUAUAGAGUACAGUAUACCCUAUUCCCUAUAUAGUACAGUAUACCCUAAUCCCUAUAUAGUACAGUAUACCCUAUUCCCUAUAUAUACAGUAACCCAUUCCCUAUAUAGUACAGUAUACCCUAUUCCCUAUAUAGUAUAGUAUACCCUAUCCCUAUAUAGUACAGCAUACCCUAUAUAGUACAGUAUACCCUAUUCCCAUAGAGUACAGUAUACCAUAUAGUACAGCAUACCCUAUUCCCUAUAUAGUACAGCAUAACAUUUUCCUAUAUAGUACAGUAUAAACUAUUCCCUAUAUAGUACAGUAUACCCUAUUCCCUAUAGUUACAGUAUACCUAUUCCCUAUAUAGUACAGUAUACCCUAUUCCCUACAGAUUUGUUAUGAUCAGUUAUCAGUGAGCUGUACAACAGGAAGUUACUACAGUAUUGUUAUGAUCAGUUAUCAUUGAGCUGACAACAGGAAGUUACUACAGUAGUUAUGAUCAGUGAGCUUUACAACAGGGAGUUACUACAGUAUUGUUAUGAUCAGUGAGCUGUACAACAGGAAGUUACUACAGUAUUGUUAUGAUCAGUUAUCAGUGAGCUGUACAACAGGAAGUUACUACAGUAUGGUUAUGAUCAGUGAGCUGUACAACAGGAAGUUACACAGUAUUGUUAGGAUCAGUGGCUGUACAACAGGAAGUUAUACAGUAUUGUUAUGAUCAGUGUGAGCUGUACAACAGGAAGUUACUACAGUAUUGUUAUGAUCAGUGGCUGUACAACAGGAAGUUACUACAGU
rnacentral:lncRNA from 1 species